rnacentral:rRNA from 1 species
AUUGAACGCUGGCGGAAUGCUUUGCACAUGCAAGUCGAACGGCAGCACGGACUUCGGUCUGGUGGCGAGUGGCGAACGGGUGAGUAAUAUAUCGGAACGUGCCCAGUCGUGGGGGAUAACGUAGUGAAAAUUACGCUAAUACCGCAUACGAUCUAAGGAUGAAAGCGGGGGAUCGCAAGACCUCGCGCGAUUGGAGCGGCCGAUAUCAGAUUAGGUAGUUGGUGAGGUAAAGGCUCACCAAGCCAACGAUCUGUAGCUGGUCUGAGAGGACGACCAGCCACACUGGAACUGAGACACGGUCCAGACUCCUACGGGAGGCAGCAGUGGGGAAUUUUGGACAAUGGACGCAAGUCUGAUCCAGCCAUUCCGCGUGCAGGACGAAGGCCUUCGGGUUGUAAACUGCUUUUGUACAGAACGAAAAGGUCUCUGUUAAUACCAGGGGCUCAUGACGGUACUGUAAGAAUAAGCACCGGCUAACUACGUGCCAGCAGCCGCGGUAA